GCAUAUCAAUAAGCGGAGGAAAAGAAACCAACAGGGAUUGCCUUAGUAACGGCGAGUGAAGCGGCAACAGCUCAAAUUUGAAAGCUGGCCCUUUUAGGGUCCGCAUUGUAAUUUGUAGAGGAUGAUUCGGCGAGGGCUCCUGCCUAAGUCCCCUGGAACGGGGCGUCAUAGAGGGUGAGAAUCCCGUAUGCGGUAGGUUGCCUUAGCCAUGUGAAUCUCCUUCGACGAGUCGAGUUGUUUGGGAAUGCAGCUCUAAAUGGGAGGUAAAUUUCUUCUAAAGCUAAAUACCGGCCAGAGACCGAUAGCGCACAAGUAGAGUGAUCGAAAGAUGAAAAGCACUUUGGAAAGAGAGUUAAAAAGUACGUGAAAUUGUUGAAAGGGAAGCGCUUGCAACCAGACUUGUCCGCAGUUGCUCAGCCGGUCUCCUGACCGGCGUACUCUUCUGCGGCCAGGCCAGCAUCAGUUCGGGCGGUCGGAUAAAGGCCUCGGGAAUGUAGCUCCUCUCGGGGAGUGUUAUAGCCCGGGGUGGAAUGCGGCCAGCCUGGACUGAGGAACUCGCUUCGGCAAGGAUGCUGGCGUAAUGGUUGUAAGCGGCCCGUCUUGAAACACGGACCAA
rnacentral:rRNA from 2 species